rnacentral:rRNA from 1 species
AUGAACGCUGGCGGCGUGCCUAAUACCUGCAAGUCGAGCGAACGGACGAGAAGCUUGCUUCUCUGAUGUUAGCGGCGGACGGGUGAGUAACACGUGGAUAACCUACCUAUAAGACUGGGAUAACUUCGGGAAACCGGAGCUAAUACCGGAUAAUAUUUUGAACCGCAUGGUUCAAAAGUGAAAGACGGUCUUGCUGUCACUUAUAGAUGGAUCCGCGCUGCAUUAGCUAGUUGGUAAGGUAACGGCUUACCAAGGCAACGAUGCAUAGCCGACCUGAGAGGGUGAUCGGCCACGCUGGAACUGAGACACGGUCCAGACUCCUACGGGAGGCAGCAGUAGGGAAUCUUCCGCAAUGGGCGAAAGCCUGACGGAGCAACGCCGCGUGAGUGAUGAAGGUCUUCGGAUCGUAAAACUCUGUUAUUAGGGAAGAACAUAUGUGUAAGUAACUGUGCACAUCUUGACGGUACCUAAUCAGAAAGCCACGGCUAACUACGU